rnacentral:lncRNA from 1 species
UGAUUCCAUCCGUACUCAAGGCCCGAGGGUCGGGGUCCCCCGUGGAGUUCAGAUUCAAAAGUCACAUGCAAACUCCCAGAUCUGUGCUUUAAGGAGAAAGGGGUAGAAUUUUGGGUGGGAACUUCCGGUGGGAACCGGAAAAGGAAAAGCUGGACAAGGCCUCAGCUGGGCGUGAACUUCCUGCAGAGGUUUGGAUCAUGCCGGUCCUGUCUUGAAACAUGGUGUAUGCUGCGUUUGUGAUGGCUACACUUUGAACUGUCAGCCUGAGUGGAUGCGGGAGCAGCCAGGCCCCCAGGAACGCACAGCUCUAGCCAUGUCUGCUGUGGCCAUUCAAGAGCUCAUUAGAUCACAAGGGCUCUGAUCUAAUGAAUCUGAUUGGUCACUGAUGAACUCAUAACAGCAUUAUGGAGAGAUGGUAAGAGGUACAGGGAUCUUCCUGACUUGCAAACUGAGACAGCCUCAUUCCAUCAGAGCCUCGAAAGCUGCAGUGUCCACCUCCUGAGCCUUCCUGCCACCACGGUCCAACUCUCGAAGCUUCCUGCUGUGGCAACCAUUUCUAAUGUGCCAGCUUUUCUGGCCUGGUCACAGCAUCCAUAUCGCUCACUAGAUAGGGACCACAGGGACUUGGACAUGCUCAAGAGGAGCAGCUGCACCUUCUUGAAUCACAAUCCAAGGCCUCUCCCAAUGGCAAGCCAAGACUUCAAACAGAGGAUCUCUCUGGGGCCAUCUGGAGCUAGAAGCUAGAGACAGAAUUUAUUCCUGGAGACCCAGAGAACCAGGCCAGGCCAAGAGUUGCAAGGACACAUCAGCGCAAUCCAGAGUGUCACAUACAGAGUCUCUCACUGAGGCAUGGAAUUCACCAGUUAGUCAAGACUGACUGCCACUGACCUCUGAAGAACAUCCCUGCUCUCUCUGACAAGCUCUGGGGUCUUAAGUGCCUGUCACCAUGCCUGCCUUCUCACGUGGGUACAGGGAUUGGAACCUGGGUUAUCAUUCCUACAUGGCAAGCACUUCACCAACUGAGUAUUCCCCUCAGUGCCUUCCAAGGCUUUGAACGUGACAUUUCAGGAAAACAUUUAUUGAGUAAUCCUCAUCAGGCUGGGCACAGAUCUCUUGACAAAGUAAGAAUGCUAAUAACAUUAUUUGGGACUCCAGCUUUGACGUUUCCAACAAUUUCUGGUGCUCGGCUUAACAUACUGAAAAUACUCUCCUACUUCCAACAGAAGUGACAGGCUUUGGGGUCUGGAAGAUGAGGGAACAGCUGGCUGGGUGAAUAGUCAAGAUUGUAAGUUCCCUGCCCCCCCCCCACACACACACACAGUCACACUGUUCCAUGAUGGCAAAACAGCAUCAUUUCAAGGACCAACAGUAUAAAAUACAAAGUAAAAGGAAAAAUACAAUAAACUUAUGCCCCAUAAUCCAGAUGCAGGUAUACAGGAAAGCUCAAAGCACAGCAUCCUCUCCUG